UACGUAGGCAGCGAGCGUUGUUCGGAGUUACUGGGCGUAAAGAGUGCGUAGGCGGUUUUUAAGUUUGGUGUGAAAUCUCCCGGCUUAACUGGGAGGGUGCGCCGAAAACUGGAAGGCUUGAGUAUGGGAGAGGUAAGCGGAAUUCCUGGUGUAGCGGUGAAAUGCGUAGAUAUCAGGAGGAACACCUGCGGUGUAGACGGCUUACUGGACCAUAACUGACGCUGAGGCACGAAAGCGUGGGUAGCAAACAGG
rnacentral:rRNA from 1 species